rnacentral:lncRNA from 1 species
GCCGGUGCUGGAUGAACCGGGAGAUAAAACCGGAAAGCAUCUUGGGGAUUGGGUGGUAGAGCGGCCUCCUACGAGGUAAUUGCUUCACUCUACGUGGCAUUUCUUAAAAUCUAAAAAAAUAUUAAAUUAAUUAAUUUAAUAUUUUUUAAACAAAGAAAUAAUUAAUUAAUUAAUCAAUACAUGGAAAACUAAUGAUUAUUAUCUCAUUUUAAAA